ensembl:lncRNA
CCGCCGCCGCCGGGCCCUCCAGGAUGCCGCCGCCGCCGCCGCCGGGCCCUCCAGGUUGGUCUCCACCACCGCCUCCAGGCCCUCCAGGUUGGUCUCCACCAACGCCUCCAGGCCCUCCAGGUUGGUCUCCACCACCGCCUCCAGGCCCUCCAGGCCCACCGACUCCAGGUUGGCCUCCACCUCCAGGCCCGCUGUUGCCUCCAGGACCUCGGCCGUCUCCAGGCCUUCCAGGUUGGCCGCCUCCAGGCCCUUAUGAAAUGUGAGACACAAGUUCCAGUUGCAUACUGGAGCAUUUCUCCCCUUUCAUGAUGCACUGAAGAAGAGUUUAACUUUACUGGAUGAGGAGCCGCCACCUGGCCCUCCAUGCCACCCCUUCCAGGUUGGACGCCUCCAGGACCUCCAGGCCACCGCCGCCUCCAGGCUGGCCUCCGCCUCCAGGCUGGCCUCCGCCUCAGUCCUUCUGAAAGGCGAAUGACACGUUCCAUUUGCACACUGCACAUUUCUCCCCGUACAUGAUGCAGAUAAUCAACUCCUCCUCUGCUUUAGCUCCCACAGAUCUCACUGAUGCCGUACUGUGCAGUCUUGAGUGAGGUAUUAUUUAAGCCAACAGCCAGCCACACACACGCCUAGCCUACAUCCUGGAGCUGGUCCUAGUGGCUGAGAAUGCAUCUGACAUUUUUCAGAACACCUCAGAGUUGCUCGAGCGCCUCCAGACGACCGCCACGGACCUCACGGCGAGCACCUCCAGACGACCGCCACGGACCUCCAGACGAGCCCCUCCAGACGACCGCCACGGACCUCCAGACGAGCCCCUCCAGACGACCGCCACGGACCUCCAGACGAGCCCCUCCAGACGACCGCCUCCAUCACCUCCACUGAAACAAGACUAAAUCUAUUUAAACACUGGAGAUUUUUUUUCUCCUCGCUCACUCAGAUGUCAAUAGCUUAUCUUCUCCCAUUCUGUGCGUUCUUGAGAAGUAUCAUUUCCUAUAAACUCCCAAACCCAGCCACACAUCUAAUCUUCAUAAGGACACUAGUCCUAGUGGCUGAGAACGCUUGGCUAACAAGCCAAGCACAACCAAUGACUGAAUUCCAUUUUAUUCUGAACCGUUUGACCACGCCAAGGAGGAGUUUAUAGGAUGUGCAGUUCCACGGCUCACCCGUCUGUUCCUGUAGGACUGGACGGCUCCUGGCCACCAUCCACCUGCAGCUCCCAGCUCCAGACCCGCUCUGUUGAAGCCUCUGGGAGUACAAUCCGCUCCUGAACAAAAACAAACCACUGUUCAUAAAUCAUUUUGUACUCUGCAAUCCUUGGAAAUAUAAUGAAGCAUGAGCUCGAAUAGAAAAUGUUCAAAUCCUGUAUAAUGAUUGUUGUACAAAUGUGUAUAGUUCUAGAUAACUUUUUUACUUCUAUAAAACAUUUAAUGAAUAGUGGGAAACUACAUAAGAAAAGUAAAUGAAUGCGGUUUUAACGCGGUUAUAUUAGUAAAGCAAGUCUUACCCAAAAAGUCAAUAAAUGGUGACCACAUUAUUAUUAUUAUUAUUAUUAACUAUUUAGUGCUUCACUAAAUUCCUAUAGCAAGUGGAAACGUUACUCUCCUUCAUUGGUGAUGUUCAUGUUCCUCGAUAUCUUCCAAUGGACUCGUUGUGAAAUUCUUCUGGAUCCUCUGCGUUGAAGUCAUGGUUGAAGUGCGUUGUUCAAUUUCCAAGGGGCGUGUCUAAAGGGCGCGAUAUAAAAUGGGUCGAUGCUAUGCUAUUGGGUAGGCCGCGACUAAUCAUAGUAUUGGAACGGGUGAUGCAGAAAUACAUAUAUUCCUCAAAAUCUUUGAGUAGUAGUCGUUCGUUCUUUUAGUGAGCAUAUACAGUAUUUAGUUCACUAACUUCCAUCUUUGUUGUUGAAACACCUCUACAUGUUGCGUAUAUCCAACCUCACAUUAGAUAGCCUAAAGGGUUGCUAUUGGUCGGUUUAUUUCGUACCGGGCAGAAAACGUUAUAUAACGGAGGGGCGCCUGACCGCAUCUUUGAAGAGCAAAUUAUAUAUGAGGUCCGUCUAGUUCCGAAGUUAUUGGUUUAAUACGCAAAACUAAUAUUGAAAUGUUAAUUUUGGCAUUUAAUUUGCAUCUACAUUUUGCCAGUGAUGGAGUUUAGGUUUGCCAAUCCGAGGUCUAACAGGCAGUAAACAUGUUCAUUAAAAUACAAAUGCAAAGUCCACAGAACAUACGCGAAUAAAAACCACAUUGCACCACUAGCGGUCAACAGCAGCAGCAACAAGUGUAUUGAAAGUAGAAAAGUAGUAAAGAGAAGAAUAGAAUUGGGAGAGUGGUGUGCAAGUCAGACACCGCAUCUAACCCAGGACCACCUUGCAGAUCACAAGCAGCAAACCUUCUACCAGACCAACCAAACACACAUCAACAGGCCCCCAGUCAGUAGGGUCAGUCAGACAGGUUUCCACAGAAGGGCUCAGUGGGGUUAUGGGUUGAGGAAAAACAGAACCCUUUCUUCCUUCCACAAGUUUCCAUCCUGGAUUUUUCGGACAUGUGGAGUCGGACAUGUUUCAAGUUAUCCGUGGAUUCCUGAGGGCAGUGAAGUAUCUGCAGAAGGUGACGUCCAGCGGUCUGCGGCAUUGACCACGAGAUUUAACCGAGUGGGACCGCCUCUGUAUGUAGUCGGCCUAGCUACAACAGUUUGUGUUCAACAGCGUGGAGGUCCUGUAGUUUCCAUCAGAGUUGCUGCAGUUCUUCCAUGCUGCUUCGACAGUGAGCAGAGGACACUUCCCAGUGUGGUGGUCGGUGCUGUAGCGGUCCGCAGCGUUAGUUAGUCAGUCGAUCCCAUAGAUAAACCACUCAACACAAACUACCACUUCCAUCAGCAAAUCCACAUUAACCUCCAGCGGUAAAACAUGUACAAUAGAGGGGCGAGAACAGACGACAUGAGGAGAUGGGGAGAGUGUAACAUGUGCAGUGCUCAUGAAGGAAGUACCCCGCGUUACUCACUGCGUGGGUCCCGGUGGCGGGGGUCCACGUCGGUGGCCACGAUGUCCGGAUUGUUCAGCACACGCAAUCCAACGCAAAAUAAACGAUUAACAUCCGUCACGGUGGGGGCGCUUUUGGGGAGAGGCGGGGGAGACGCAGCUGAAAUCAAUUAAGAACUAGCGACCAGAAGAACGUGAUUGGUUGUGAGCGAGAAGCUCGAGACGAGAGGCCUGCGUAUUGGUUAGAGCAGUGGUUUUCAAACUGUGGGGCGCGCCCCCCCUGUGGGGGCGCGACGUGAGAAAAAAAUAAACCCG